CCUACGGGAGGCAGCAGUAGGGAAUAUUGGACAAUGGGCGCAAGCCUGAUCCAGCCAUCCCGCGUGAAGGAUUAAGGCCCUCUGGGUUGUAAACUUCUUUUUUUGGGGAAUAAAAACCGGAAUUCAUUCUGGCUUGAAGGUACCCGAAGAAUAAGCACCGGCUAACUCCGUGCCAGCAGCCGCGGUAAUACGGAGGGUGCAAGCGUUAUCCGGAUUCACUGGGUUUAAAGGGAGCGUAGGUGGCUUUGUAAGUCAGUGGUGAAAGCCCGCAGCUCAACUGCGGAACUGCCAUUGAUACUGCUUAGCUUGAAUCAGGUCGAGGUGGAUGGAAUAAUACAUGUAGCGGUGAAAUGCUUAGAGAUGUAUUAGAACACCGAUUGCGAAGGCAGUUCACUAGGCCUGUAUUGACACUGAGGCUCGAAAGCGUGGGGAUCAAACAGGAUUAGAUACCCCAGUAGUC
rnacentral:rRNA from 1 species